CGUAGCUUAAUUAAAGCAUCUUGCUUACACCAAGAAAANGUAUGUGAAAACCAUACCGUUUUGA
rnacentral:tRNA from 1 species